rnacentral:rRNA from 1 species
UACCAGCACCCCGAGUGGUCGGGACGUUUAUUGGGCCUAAAGCAUCCGUAGCCGGUUCUACAAGUCUUCCGUUAAAUCCAGCUGCUUAACAGAUGGGCUGCGGAAGAUACUAUGGAGCUAGGAGGCGGGAGAGGCAAGCGGUGACUCGAGUGGGUAGGGGUAAAAUCCGUUGAGUCCAUUGAAGACCACCAGUGGCGAAGGCGGCUUGCCAGAACGCGCUCGGACG